AAGCGGGAUAGGUGGGGAGCUAGGCGUACCCUGUAUUACAAAUCGUCUUUAUGGUAGACUGAACUCCUUGGGGCGGCGAAAGCGGUCUCUUGGUUCCUGUGCGCGGACGUUGAUGUCUCGCCCCCACAUGACUCGGGUGUCAUGAACCGUAUCCGGAGGGAAACGGGAAUUGAAUAACUGGGGAAUCAGGUCAGGCCGGGAACGGAGCAGCCCUACUCAGGGCCAUGGGUGCUGUGGGGUAGCGGGAUGGAGAAAGUGUAUGGAUUUAGCCUUGAGAAACGAGCGUCCACCCUUGGACCUCCCACUU
rfam:Euryarchaeota archaeon TMED132 41101, whole genome shotgun sequence.